rnacentral:lncRNA from 1 species
AUGGUAACCACGAUGGGGGCUUACAUUCUGAGAGGAACCUGGAUGGUGACCGUGAGGGAGGCUUGCAUUCAGAGAGGAAACAAAUAUGUAGGAGUGAAGGGCUUAAGUUUGUGUGUGAGACAGAGACUGCCUGAUCAGCGGUCCUCUCCAGCAGGAAGUGCAGUGGUCAACCUCCUCCAUUGUUUCGUGAAGGAUCGUCGAAAACGCCUUUUAGAUCACCUUCCCAACCUCUAUCUUGUUCUAUGGGUAAUUAUCCAAUACAUGUAUUGUGAAAUCUUAGAGUAGUAAACAUAACCAUUAUUGGGUUCAAAGGAAGGCCCAACAUAAUAUUAUAAUGACCCUCACACAAUACACCUGCAUUAUGUGUGCAUUACAGCUGGACAACUUUCUCAUGGCUUCUGGAGGGAAAUGCUGUAGGAAUGCUCAACCGAUGUCGAUCAUUCAGCUGACAGAAACUUUCAACCGGUUCUCCCCAUGUGGGAGCUAAUGUAAUAUAAAUAGGUGCAGCUGCUAGGCUGAAGUAGCAAGGACAUAAGUACAUUGGCCAGAGGACGAGAAGGUGACACCCAGUACAUUUGCUAUUUCUGAGUAGGGUAACAUUCCCAAGAUUCCAUUAAGCUAAACGAACAUGAGUGCAUUAGCCAAGGCCAUAAGUACAUUUAUGACAGCUGGACAAGACGGCCUACAGGGAGGAGGUGACGGCCCUUGGAGUGUGGUGUCAGGAAAAUAACCUCAAGCUCAAUGUAAACAAAACAAAGGAGAUGAUCGUGGACAUCAGGAAACAGCAGAGGGAGCAGCCCCCUAUCUACAUUGGCGGGACAGUAGUGGAGAGGGUGAAGAGUUGUAAGUUCCUCGGUGUACACAUCACGGACAAACUGAAAUGGUCCACCCACACAGACAGCAUGGUGAAGAAGGUGCAGCAGCGCCUCUUCAACCUCAGGAGGUGUAGUGGAAAAUCGGUUCAAAUAUGACAACCAAGAUCUUUGUGAAAAUCAAUAUAGACUUUUAAUACAACAGUAUCUUAAGCCGGAGCGGUCCGCGGAACACACACAUUUUCAGAGCACUCGCUCUGACUUUUUAUACACACAAUCCAUGAGUCCAUCCUACUUCGUGCAUCCUGCUUGUUCAGCCCAGUAACGCCCACAUCUGCUUUCGGUCAGAUUAAAAAUGAUGACAAGACCCUUCCUUUGACCUAAAGAUAAUAUACAGUGCCUUGCGAAAGUAUUCGGCCCCCUUGAACUUUGCGACCUUUUGCCACAUUUCAGGCUUCAAACAUAAAGAUAUAAAACUGUAUUUUUUUGUGAAGAAUCAACAGCAAGUGGGACACAAUCAUGAAGUGGAACGACAUUUAUUGGAUAUUUCAAACUUUUUUAACAAUUCAAAAACGGAAUAAUUGGGCGUGCAAAAUUAUUCAGCCCCCUUAAGUUAAUACUUUGUAGCGCCACCUUUUGCUGCGAUUACAGCUGUUAGUCGCUUGGGGUAUGUCUCUAUCAGUUCUGCACAUCGAGAGACUGAAUUUUUUUCCCAUUCCUCCUUGCAAAACAGCUCGAGCUCAGUGAGGUUGGAUGGAGAGCAUUUGUGAACAGCAGUUUUCAGUUCUUUCCACAGAUUCUCGAUUGGAUUCAGGUCUGGACUUUGACUUGGCCAUUCUAACACCUGGGUAUGUUUAUUUUUGAACCAUUCCAUUGUAGAUUUUGCUUUAUGUUUUGGAUCAUUGUCUUGUUGGAAGACAAAUCUCCGUCCCAGUCUCAGGUCUUUUGCAGACUCCAUCAGGUUUUCUUCCAGAAUGGUCCUCUAUUUGGCUCCAUCCAUCUUCCCAUCAAUUUUAACCAUCUUCCCUGUCCCUGCUGAAGAAAAGCAGGCCCAAACCAUGAUGCUGCCACCACCAUGUUUGACAGUGGGGAUGGUGUGUUCAGAGUGAUGAGCUGUGUUGCUUUUACGCCAAACAUAACGUUUUGCAUUGUUGCCAAAAAGUUCCAUUUUGGUUUCAUCUGACCAGAGCACCUUCUUCCACAUGUUUGGUGUGUCUCCCAGGUGGCUUGUGGCAAACUUUAAACGACACUUUUUAUGGAUAUCUUUAAGAAAUGGCUUUCUUCUUGCCACUCUUCCAUAAAGGCCAGAUUUGUGCAAUAUACGACUGAUUGUUGUCCUAUGGACAGAGUCUCCCACCUCAGCUGUAGAUCUCUGCAGUUCAUCCAGAGUGAUCAUAGGCCUCUUGGCUGCAUCUCUGAUCAGUCUUCUCCUUGUAUGAGCUGAAAGUUUAGAGGGACGGCCAGGUCUUGGUAGAUUUGCAGUGGUCUGAUACUCCUUCCAUUUCAAUAUUAUCGCUUGCACAGUGCUCCUUGGGAUGUUUAAAGCUUGGGAAAUCGUUUUGUAUCCAAAUCCGGCUUUAAACAUCUUCACAGCAGUAUCUCGGACCUGCCUGGUGUGUUCCUUGUUCUUCAUGAUGCUCUCUGCGCUUUUAACGGACCUCUGAGACUAUCACAGUGCAGGUGCAUUUAUACGGAGACUUGAUUACACACAGGUGGAUUGUAUUUAUCAUCAUUAGUCAUUUAGGUCAACAUUGGAUCAUUCAGAGAUCCUCACUGAACUUCUGGAGAGAGUUUGCUGCACUGAAAGUAAAGGGUCUGAAUAAUUUUGCUUAAAUUUGGCUUGUCACCAAAAACAUUCACAAACCUUUACAGAUGCAAAAUCGAGAGCAUCCUGUCGAGCUGUAUCACCGCCUGGUACGGCAGCUGCUCCGCCCAUAACCAGAAGGCUCUUCAGAGGGUAGUGAGGUCUGCACAAUGCAUCACCGGGGGAAAACUACCUGCCCUCCAGGACAUCUACAGGACAUUUACGAUGUCACAGGAAUGCCAAAAAGAUCAUCAAGGACAACAACCAUCCAAGCCACUGCCUGUUCACCCCACUAUCAUUGUGGGAGCUAAGCAUUAAAUAUAAAUAGGUGUAGUUGCCAUGCUGAAGUAGCAAGGACAUGCACAUUAAGAGAAGAUUACCAGCACGGAUUCUGCUACUCUGUAUUAUAGUCUAUAUUGAAUUCACAAGUUCUUGUAAGAGUGUUAUAUUUCUGAGACAAUUUUCCACGACAACAUCCAGAAGGCGAGGUCAGUAGAGGUGCAUCAAAGCGUGGACCGAGAGACUGAAAAACAGCUUCUAUCUCAAGGCCAUCAGACUGUUAUACAGCCAUCACUAACAUUGAGUGGCUCCUGCCAACAUACUGACUCAACUCCAGCUACUUUAAUAAUGGAAAAAUUGAUGUAAUCAAUUUAUCACUAGCCACUUUAUAUUAUAUAAUGUUUACUUACCCUACAUUACUCAUCUCAUAUGUAUAUAUUGUACGCUAUACCAUCUACUGUAUCUUGCCACCUUGAUGUAAUUAAAUGUAUCACUGUUAGGAAUAUUAUGAAUAAUGACUAAACAAUAUCUACAUUUUAAAUAGAACUAUAACUAAUGAAACUUAUACUCUGUUUUAUUAUAUCUGAUUAAACAAUAUUCAUUCAUAAGGAAGGGAUUGUGGAGCAUGAAACAGGGGGUAAUUAAAUUAAAUAAAUACCAUUCCAGCCAGGUUGGAGAGGACUGGAAUUGUGGGUUUUUAAGUAAGCAAAAAGGGUCGUUAACCUAUGGUUGAACCGACUCAACUUAGCUCUGGGAUGUUUAGAUAAGGCAGAGAGUGUUUUCCUGGGUUUUCCAUUAUCUGGAACUGUCUUCUAAAUAGUGAUGGAUGAAGGUGAAGAUUCCAGAAGUUAAUCUAGAUAAGUGUGUGUCUGGAGUGAGCGAGCUAGUGGGUUGGAAUAAACUAUUGAACCCGUUCUGUCCUUGUCGAUAGGAGGAAGGAGA